rnacentral:rRNA from 1 species
GCGAAUGGAUUAAGAGCUUGCUCUUAUGAAGUUAGCGGCGGACGGGUGAGUAACACGUGGGUAACCUGCCCAUAAGACUGGGAUAACUCCGGGAAACCGGGGCUAAUACCGGAUAAUAUUUUGAACUGCAUGGUUCGAAAUUGAAAGGCGGCUUCGGCUGUCACUUAUGGAUGGACCCGCGUCGCAUUAGCUAGUUGGUGAGGUAACGGCUCACCAAGGCAACGAUGCGUAGCCGACCUGAGAGGGUGAUCGGCCACACUGGGACUGAGACACGGCCCAGACUCCUACGGGAGGCAGCAGUAGGGAAUCUUCCGCAAUGGACGAAAGUCUGACGGAGCAACGCCGCGUGAGUGAUGAAGGCUUUCGGGUCGUAAAACUCUGUUGUUAGGGAAGAACAAGUGCUAGUUGAAUAAGCUGGCACCUUGACGGUACCUAACCAGAAAGCCACGGCUAACUACGUGCCAGCAGCCGCGGUAAUACGUAGGUGGCAAGCGUUAUCCGGAAUUAUUGGGCGUAAAGCGCGCGCAGGUGGUUUCUUAAGUCUGAUGUGAAAGCCCACGGCUCAACCGUGGAGGGUCAUUGGAAACUGGGAGACUUGAGUGCAGAAGAGGAAAGUGGAAUUCCAUGUGUAGCGGUGAAAUGCGUAGAGAUAUGGAGGAACACCAGUGG